rnacentral:lncRNA from 1 species
GCUCCCCGUUUGGAUUGGGGAUAAGGGGUGGAAUAACUCCUUAUCCCCCUUUAUACCCAUAAAUGCUAAUUUUUUACCCGAAAAUAGUAGUUGUUGGGUACCUGAAAUAAGCUGGUAUAACUAUCCCCACCAAUACUUCCAUUUUCUAUAUAUAACUUCCUACUAUUUUUCUUAUUCCAUAUUAUCUAUCCAAACGCUAUUUUUCUUAUCCUCGGAAAUAACCUAAUUUUCAUCCAAAUGCUAUUUUUUUAAUCCCCAUACUUGUAUCUAUUCCUGUAAUAGCUAGUUCUUCCUUAUACCCAAACCAAACGAUACCUUAACAAAAGGAAUACAUAUCAUACAGUUCAUUCAUCUAAAGAAUGUGAUUUUUUUUAUUUGUCACAACAUGUGACAGAUAAAAAAAAUCUUAUCAAUUAAAUAAAUGGCUAUAAAUCAUACACUCUCGAAUGGGGUGUAUGAUUAGCUUUUUCCUUCACGAUAAUAUUAAGGAUUAAUUGCACAAUUAGUCCACAACCUUCUCGAUUUUUCAAUUGAAUCUCGAACUUUCUUUUUCUUAAUCAAUUAAUUAGCGUUCAACCUUCAGAUUUCAUUUCAGUUAUAUUCUUGUCGUCCAUGCUUCCAUUAUCUUUAACGGGGUUGAUAAGCGGUUGUGUUGCAUGUUAUGAUUUAGAUUUAUAAUUAAAUUCUUAGAUUGUGACAUCUCAGUAGUCCUAAAUCGGAUAGAAAUGAGAUUAUAAUUGCGUAUAUAAGAGAUUAUAGACAUUAGUAAUAAUAAUUGGGUUCAAGUAUUUUGGGUCAGUGGUUUGAAUCCAACGAGUUAUUAUUACUACUGGUCUGAAUUGUUACAUUUGGUAUCAGAGGUAAUCACCAACUGGAAGUAUGAAAUGAGUCUCGGCUUAAUCAAAGUCAGAUGACAGGCUAAAUCAGGAUCAAGAAACGACAGACUAAACCAGAAUUGGAAUGAUAAGUCUAGCAAGACAAAUCUAACAUCGUCUGAUGAUUUCGGGCCGUGAGCUAUUGCUUUGAGUGUGUUGCA